AUAUUGGACAAUGGGGGAAACCCUGAUGCAGCGAUGCCGCGUGAGUGAAGAAGGCCUUCGGGUCGUAAAGCUCUGUCUUAAGGGAAGAAACGGACGGUACCUUAGGAGGAAGCCCCGGCUAACUCCGUGCCAGCAGCCGCGGUAAUACGUAGGGGGCGAGCAGUCUCCGGAAUUAUUGGGCGUAAAGGGUGCGUAUGUGGCAUUUUAAGUCAGAUGUGAAAGGCUACGGCUUAACCGUAGUUAGCAUUUGAAACGAAAAGGCUUGAGUGCAGGAGAGGAGAGUGGAAUUCCUAGUGUAGCGGUGAAAUGCGUAGAUAUUAGGAGGAACACCAGUGGCGAAGGCGACUCUCUGGACUGCAACUGACGCUGAGGCACGAAAGCGUGGGGAGCGAACA
rnacentral:rRNA from 1 species